AGUGAACGCUGGCGGUAGGCCUAACACAUGCAAGUCGAACGGCAGCACAGUAAGAGCUUGCUCUUACGGGUGGCGAGUGGCGGACGGGUGAGGAAUACAUCGGAAUCUACUUUUUCGUGGGGGAUAACGUAGGGAAACUUACGCUAAUACCGCAUACGACCUACGGGUGAAAGCAGGGGAUCUUCGGACCUUGCGCGAUUGAAUGAGCCGAUGUCGGAUUAGCUAGUUGGCGGGGUAAAGGCCCACCAAGGCGACGAUCCGUAGCUGGUCUGAGAGGAUGGUCAGCCACACUGGAACUGAAGAACGGUCCAGACUCCUACGGGAGGCAGCAGUGGGGAAUAUUGGACAAUGGGCGCAAGCCUGAUCCAGCCAUACCGCGUGGGUGAAGAAGGCCUUCGGGUUGUAAAGCCCUUUUGUUGGGAAAGAAAAGCAGCAGGUUAAUACCCCGCUGUUCUGACGGUACCCAAAGAAUAAGCACCGGCUAACUUCGUG
rnacentral:rRNA from 1 species